CACAAGCGGUGGAGCAUGUGGUUUAAUCGAAGCAACGCGCAGAACCUUACCAACCCUUGACAUCGAGAUCGCGGUUUCCAGAGAUGGAUUCCUUCAGUUCGGCUGGAUCUUAGACAGGUGUUGCAUGGCUGUCGUCAGCUCGUGUCGUGAGAUGUUGGGUUAAGUCCCGCAACGAGCGCAACCCUCGCCUUUAGUUGCCAUCAUUAAGUUGGGCACUCUAGAGGGACUGCCGGUGAUAAGCCGGAGGAAGGUGGGGAUGACGUCAAGUCCUCAUGGCCCUUAUGGGUUGGGCUACACACGUGCUACAAUGGCGGCGACAAUGGGCAGCGAAGGGGCGACCCGGUGCAAAUCCCAAAAAGCCGUCUCAGUUCGGAUUGGAGUCUGAAACCCGACUCCAUGAAGGUGGAAUCGCUAGUAAUCGCGCAUCAGCAUGGCGCGGUGAAUACGUUCCCGGGCCUU
rnacentral:rRNA from 1 species